AUUGAACGCUGGCGGCAGGCCUAACACAUGCAAGUCGAGCGGGGUUUUCGGACCUAGCGGCGGACGGGUGAGUAAUGCGUAGGAAGCUGCCCGAUAGAGGGGGAUACCAGUUGGAAACGACUGUUAAUACCGCAUAAUGUCUACGGACCAAAGUGUGGGACCUUCGGGCCACAUGCUAUCGGAUGCGCCUACGUGGGAUUAGCUAGUUGGUGAGGUAAUGGCUCACCAAGGCGACGAUCUCUAGCUGGUUUGAGAGGAUGAUCAGCCACACUGGAACUGAGACACGGUCCAGGCUCCUACGGGAGGCAGCAGUGGGGAAUAUUGGACAAUGGGCGCAAGCCUGAUCCAGCCAUGCCGCGUGUGUGAAGAAGGCCUUCGGGUUGUAAAGCACUUUCAGCGAGGAGGAAGUGGUGUGUUAAUAGCACAUCAUUUUGACGUUACUCGCAGAAGAAGCACCGGCUAACUCUGUGCCAGCCGCCGCGGUAAAAC
rnacentral:rRNA from 1 species